CACUGCCUACCAGACAUAGAUAGGGAUCAAAGGGGGGAGCUGGGCCAGUCAAACGCAGAUCGAGAGCUCCUAAAAGUGCAGCACUGUAUCAGGCUGUUCCAGCUCUGCGGACUGACAAGAUCCAACUGACAACCAAUAUGUCUGACGCUCCAGCCGAAGAAUCAGCGCCGACCAUAGAGGAGGUCAACACAGCGCCGGUAGAGAACCCCUGCUCUGAACUCAAAGCUGCCAUGAAAAAAUGUGCAGCAGAGAAGGGUGAAGAAAACUGCCAGGAUCUAAUUGAAGCCUAUAAAGAAUGUAUGAAAUCUCUGGGACUACAAAUCUAACGUAUGAUGAGGUUGUUAUUCCAGAGAGUCUGUGUGUUCUGAAUCCUCCACUUCCCCAUCAUCCUGUCCCCUUUAAAUCCGACCAUUCUCUUGGGAUGGACAGAUGGGAGAGCUUUGCUACAUAUGAUGAUGCGCUGUUUGUGUCCCAGCUGCUGGUCAUCUGUGUUAAUUUUACCUUGUAUGCCUCUUGAUAAUGGGACACACGCAGACUCGGACAAGAAACACCUCGGAACCAUGAUGACGACUAAUAUAAAACUGUAUACGUUUAGAAUUAUCCUAUUUCCCAUGUUUAAAUAUUUGCAGAUACAGCAUUAGGCGAACAAUUCACAAAACUUCAACAGGAAAGACGUCCAACAUCAGGACGGGUGAAAAAAAAGGGCAAGACAUAUUUCAAAAAUGUAAUGACCAAUUUCUGGGACCUUCAUUGUCGGUCAGUGUUGUCCAUCUAUACUUGUGUGAAUACUUCCAAUGCUAAGAAAACUCAGGCAGAAGUCUGUCAUUGUUAUUAAUGGCCUAUCAGCCACCAAGAACUUGGAAAAAAAAAACAUUCAAAUUAAAUAAACCAAUAAACGGAACAUGUUUUGCUUGUU